ensembl:lncRNA
AUGAAUAAGUGGGAGAGAGAAAGGAGGAGAACAAAUACCUUAGAGUUCCCCUGGUGGGAGAAGCAUUCGRCCUGCCAGCGCUCCAGGCUCAAUUCCCAGCUCCAAGGCUGUGCCUUGCAUAUCCCAACUGGCCUCCCUACCCCAGCCUGCAGGGUACCCUGGGCCGGGGUGAGCAAUGCUCCCUUUCCAUGCGUGACCAAAAAUGCCUCUGUGGAUCUGAGGACUCCUUUGCAAAAGAAGUGGGAGAAAACCAUAACUUCCAGCCUAGCAAGGUGGCACAGAGUAGUGGGCCUUGGGCCUUUUGCAUCGUGCCCCCAGCCCUUGAAGGUCACGAGAGCGGUGUCACCCUCGGAGCGGUGCUCUCGCUGCCCAUUACGUGCUGUUAGAAGUAUGCGUGCCGUUUCAUCACCGACUGGAUUGUACCGUCCAGUUUUGCGGGCAGCAGCAGCGGUGUUGCUUUUCUCUCCAUCUGGCCCCUCUGUGUCCUCCAGCGAUGGAGUCAGCACUUGUGGCUACAGCUGGAGCAAAACCCAUGUGUCAGACCUUGGAUCAUUUUCUUUCCCAGCCAAGGCAUCUGGAUCUGCGGCUUGUUCAGCUAAUAGCCUUGCUGGCAGGGGCUGCAAACAGCUCCGGAGCUAAAUAGUCAUGGAGAGGCUCGGGGAGGAACUCACCUGUCCUACAGGGCACUUUUCAUUCUUUCUUUUCAAAGGAUGUGAUGCUUGACAUAAAUUCCAUACUUUCAGUGAAAACUGCUACUGUUUCCUAAUGACCUCCUUUCAAAAGCUCUGCUGUUGUGUCUCCUGCUACUUCAAGAAUUGCCCCUGUCAAGAUAAUGUGUUUGUAAGGUUUUUUUUUUUCUUUGUGAAUCAGUUGCAAAAUAUUCAGGCAGCGGGACAUAUGGGAAUCAUAUGAGGUUUUUACUGCAUUACACUUGAAAGAGAUCGCUUUAAGAACGCGGGGGCUUUCUAGGCACAGGGCRCUAUUUAAUGCCUGACUGCUGAGGCAUUACCCAGAGGUGGUGCCUGCRAGGAAGGGAAUCCAAAACUCCUCAGUCUUUCGUCUUUGGGGGAUUGCUAAGCUAUCUUGGUUGAAAGUGUAUUUGGUGCUGGUCAAAAAUCUUCCAGGGAACUUUUUUCCUGGGAGAAUGUGGGUUUUGAUUGCGUAAAUACCAUCUGUGUUCUCAAAGAGUUUGUUUUUUUUUUUUAUCAGAAACUGAAACCCCCACCGCUAAACUGGCCAGUUCUCCGUAGCCAAAACGUGACAAGAGGAUUUUUAACAAGAAUGAGCGCAGCGUCACCCAUCAGGCUGUGGCUUCCUUAGCAGAAUUUCUUUUCAGCACUAACACCUCCCUGGCUGUCAUGGGAUUGAAAAUGAGACAUUAAUGAUGGAGUGAGCUGGACUUCCUGAUCGUGGCUGUUCCCACCCUUCGUUUCUCACCUGGUGCGGCCCAAGGUGUGAAAUGCUCCCUGUCCGGCUCCCUGCGUUUGUGCUGUGACUUUCUUCCUAGGUCAGCUCCACCCUUAGCAUCUUCAGGCUUUUGAAGAUGGGGUAAGAGACCAUGAGAGCUGGCGUGAUUUCUCUAUUACAGAUCAGCUGUGGAACCUGCUUAUAACUAUGAUGGUUGUUUAUAUGGCAACUC